GGCACCUCCAUGGGAGGCAUGCGAAGGAGGCUGCCACGUGUACCCCUCAGACAAGUUCCUGUGGGACAAAUACCUGGCCAGGGGCUGUCAUGUCACCAGACAGCUCCUGGUGGGGAUGAGCUGGGAGUCAGGAUGACAGAAGCUGUAAAUAUCCCAAAUAAAUCCCAUUCCUGGAACAUGUGAGGGUGAAGAGGAAGUGCCCUACAACUUAAUAGGUCAGGUUUUUAUCACAACUCUUCAUCUGGAAAACCGUACGGAACGUGCCCACAGAAGAUGUCUGGCACUAGUCUGGAAAACAACGUAUAAUGUCAGCAGAGCCCUGAAGAGAGGAAUAUAACACAGUUAAACAAAGCCUGGAUUGAGUUUAGCUCACCUUUAUUUCCAGCUUCAACCAACAAACCUCUUUUCUGACUGCAGCUGAUCUCAGGCCCUGCUGGUAAUGGGAAACAAAAUUCCCCUUUUCCCAGCUGCCUGAUUUUUUGAGGGUCAUUCCUGCAGUAACCCAUGGGGUGCAGUAACCCAUGGGGUGUUUUAUACAUCCUGAGCCAUGAGGAGCCAGGAAGAGGCUGGUGGCCAAAAAUGGUCUGGUGUGGUCCUAUGUCGACUUUUCAAACCUCAUGCAAUGAAUUCCCAUUUCCUGCUGCUUCCUGCCCUGACAGCCAUUUGUCCUCACCAGCUGCAGCAGUUCUGUUUGGGCCAUGCAGCAGGAGAGGGGCUAGAAGGUACCUCCAAAGUGGGUCCUGUGUUUGGAAGACCCACCCCUCAAAACCAACACCUUUUCCAUCUGUGGGUUGGUGUUGGGAGCCCUCCUGCCUUGCAAGCAAUGAGAACGCUCAGAAGAGUUAUUGACUUCUUCCCUCGGCUCUUCUCCCAUGCCAGGGCUAAAACUUCUCUGUCCCUGCUUACGACAGGGUGGGAAAAGCAGUAAUACAAGUUGUGGGCCCUCCCUCUAAGAAGACAGCAAUGCGUUUGGACCAUCAGCCUGAGUUUCAGAUCACUGCAUGGGGUCUGCAUCCCACCCCGGAGCCUGCAUCCCACCCCGGAGCCUGCAUCCCACCCCGGAGCCUGCAUCCCACCCUGGAGCCUGCAUCCCACCCCGGAGCCUGCAUCCCACCCCGGAGCCUGCAUCCCACCCCAGAGCCUGCUGACUUGUCCGGGCAGGUACAGGUGUUACCGGCACUGUAACACCUCUAAGGACUGGUUUGACAGGCUGCUCCUGCCUUUUGCUAACUCCCACUCCCAAAUUCAUUUUGGGAAACUUGCCACAGGCUGCCCCAUCUCACAGGUGCCCCAGAACUGGGUUUCCCUGCUGUGUUUACACACUGUUGGCCAAGGGCCAAACCGCUCUGAGAAUUAUUGCUUUCCUUCCUGCUGGGCUGUUUCUACAACAUCUGAUGUGAUAUGAGAAGUGUCACAGCCUGGGGGGAGCGAAGGAUGGUCCCAUCCCCAUGGGUCUCCCAAGAACCACACAUGCAAUUGCAUCUGACUUGUGAAACCAUGGCUGGAAUGGAGGGUGAUGCAUUCCUGGGGUCUGGAAGAUAAGCUGCCCCCUGCUUCACCCACCCUCGCUGCCAUGCCCAUCUCAUGGAAGAAAUUCCUUCUGAGGAAAGCAGUGAGGGGGGCUCUGUAGCCCCCUGUGCCUGAGGUGCUUUUGUCUGCCUGCUGGAUCCUGGCUGAUGGAUGGCUGCAGGCAGCAAAUUUGAGCAGCAUCUCCAUGCCAAUUUAAAUAAAUAAAUGAGUCUGAAUGCUUCA